UACGUAGGUGGCGAGCGUUGUCCGGAUUUACUGGGCGUAAAGAGCGCGCAGGCGGUCGUUCAAGUCGAGUGUGAAAGCCCCCGGCUCAACUGGGGAGGGUCACGCGAUACUGAUCGACUCGAAGGCAGGAGAGGGUAGUGGAAUUCCCGGUGUAGUGGUGAAAUGCGUAGAUAUCGGGAGGAACACCAGUGGCGAAGGCGACUACCUGGCCUGUUCUUGACGCUGAGGCGCGAAAGCUAGGGGAGCAAACGGG
rnacentral:rRNA from 1 species